GUGGGGAAUCUUGCACAAUGGGCGAAAGCCUGAUGCAGCCAUGCCGCGUGAAUGAUGAAGGCCUUAGGGUUGUAAAAUUCUUUCGUCAGGGAUGAUAAUGACCGUACCUGAAGAAGAAGCCCCGGCUAACUUCGUGCCAGCAGCCGCGGUAAUACGAAGGGGGCUAGCGUUGCUCGGAAUUACUGGGCGUAAAGGGCGCGUAGGCGGACAGCUUAGUCAGAGGUGAAAGCCCAGGGCUCAACCUUGGAAUUGCCUUUGAUACUGGCUGUCUUGAGUUUGGGAGAGGUGAGUGGAACUCCGAGUGUAGAGGUGAAAUUCGUAGAUAUUCGGAAGAACACCAGUGGCGAAGGCGACUCACUGGCCCAAUACUGACGCUGAGGCGCGAAAGCGUGGGGAGCAAACAGGAUUAGAAACCCUAGUAGUCC
rnacentral:rRNA from 1 species